GAACGCUAGCAGGAUGCUUUACACAUGCUAGUCGAACGGCAGCGCGAGAGAGCUUGCUCUCUUGGUGGCGAGUGGCGGACGGGUGAGUAAUAUAUCGGAACGUGCCCAGUAGCGGGGGAUAACUACUCGAAAGAGUGGCUAAUACCGCAUACGCCCUACGGGGGAAAGGGGGGGAUCGCAAGACCUCUCACUAUUGGAGCGGCCGAUAUCGGAUUAGCUAGUUGGUGGGGUAAAGGCUCACCAAGGCAACGAUCCGUAGCUGGUUUGAGAGGACGGCCAGCCACACUGGGACUGAGACACGGCCCAGACUCCUACGGGAGGCAGCAGUGGGUAAUUUUGGACAAUGGGGGAAACCCUGAUCCAGCCAUCCCGCGUGUAUGAUGAAGGCCUUCGGGUUGUAAAGUACUUUUGGCAGAGAAGAAAAGGUAUCCCCUAAUACGGGAUACUGCUGACGGUAUCUGCAGAAUAAGCACCGGCUAACUACGUGCCAGCAGCCGCGGUAAUACGUAGGGUGCAAGCGUUAAUCGGAAUUACUGGGCGUAAAGCGUGAGUAGGCGGUUCGGAAAGAAAGAUGUGAAAUCCCAGGGCUCAACCUUGGAACUGCAUUUUUAACUGCCGAGCUAGAGUAUGUCAGAGGGGGGUAGAAUUCCACGUGUAGCAGUGAAAUGCGUAGAUAUGUGGAGGAAUACCGAUGGCGAAGGCAGCCCCCUGGGAUAAUACUGACGCUCAGACACGAAAGCGUGGGGAGCACACAGGAUUAGAUACCCUGGUAGUCCACGCCCUAAACGAUGUCAUCUAGCUGUUGGGGCCGUUAGGCCUUAGUAGCGCAGCUAACGCG
rnacentral:rRNA from 1 species